UUGAAAAUUUAAAAGUUCAAAUGACAAAUAAUACAAUAUAUAAAUAAUAAUAUAUAUAUAUAUAUAUAUAGCCGCGUAGUUGAAAAUUAUGCGUAUGUGCCUCCAAUAGGAACUGCCAUGAAUGCUCAUAAACAGAAUCAUCACCGGAAACACAAAAUACUACACAAUCCCUUGCCAGUAACACUCCAAGAAUCUUAACAUACUACUUGAUAAAAACCUAAUGCCUUUUCUAACAAACGUUGGACCUACUUUGUGUUUGUUAUACCUCACAGGUGUUAUAUAGAAAAUAGAAGGUAUAUUAAGUAGCUCAUACACACUACACGCAGUUGUUGAUAACCGAAGGUUUAAGUUGGUCGUGAUGGUUGUAUUAUGGGUAUUCUUCGGUGUAAUGCUAAGCGUUGUUGAAGGUCAAUUGCAGCGUAAAUACGUGACGGAUUUCAGAAAUGCUUUCGAUACGAAGUUACACGCGAGUGUGUUGGAUGAGGAAAAGUGUUUUAAACAGCUGGAGAUCUUGAGUAAUCACUCAUUGGGAUUACGAUUUCUAGACGCCACGGGCAAAAUCCCAAGUGGUAUAAUGGAAGGAAACUUCAACGCUCUCGGAGACUAUUUUGAAUGUUUGGCCAUCGACCAAGUCUUAAACAACUUGGCCUUCCAGGGGAAAUACUGCUCCCUCAAGAUCCCUAUUCAACAACAGCUGUUGGUCAGUGAAAAGUCUCUUGCCUGGUCAGAUAUGGCCUAUCAGCUUGGCAUCGAUGGUCUUCCUAUUAAUUAUUAUGUGGACAUGUUAAGAGAGAUCUCUGAUAAAUCUUUCACCAAUGUAAAGAAGUACAUUGAUAAUUUUACAGGAUUUGGGCAGAAAUUCAAUAUAAGUGACGUCGGCAACUCAUUGGUUCCUUUCAAUAUCACCAUGGGGGUGUGUAUUCCCCACACAUGUACCACGGAGCAAGUCGUUGAAUACUUCAUCACAAGAUACGUUCCGGUGUUAAAUUUGACCUACUCCGAAUUCUUUUGCCGUCUGCCAAACGACAAGCCGUUCACUGCAGCUGAUUACACAGUGAUUGUUAUUUUUUCUGUAUUAGGAGUUAUCACUAUCAUUAGUACUUCCUACGACAUCUACAACACCUUGAUAUUAAAACGCAAUCGAUCCGAAAUAAACCGUCUGUACCAAAGUUUCUCUGUAUACACAAAUACACGGAGAUUAGUAACAUUUAUUCAAGAGCCAGGGUCUUUGGAUUGCGUGGACGGCAUCAGGACCCUUUCCAUGCUGUGGGUAGUUCUGGGCCAUACUUACACUUCGAUAAUGUUUGUAGGAGUUCACAACACUAAAUAUAUUUUGGAGUGGUCAAGGUUCUUUACGUCAACAUGGCUCCACUCAGCAACUGUCACAGUGGACACGUUUUUCUUUCUCAGUGGCAUGUUGUCCGUUUACAGUACAGUGAAAAAGUUUAAUAGAGGGAGAUUCAUGAGAAAUAUUCAUUUCUUCUACAUUCUACGCCUGUUAAGGAUGUUACCGCUUUUGGCUGCAAUGGUUCUUCUACAAGUGUCGCUGUUGCACCACGCUUCUGACGGUCCUAACUGGAAAAAAGUCGCGUCCUCAGUUGAAUACUGCAAUAAGUUUUGGUGGAGUGCCCUACUUCAUGUACAGAAUUAUGUUAAUCCUUUAGAAGUUUGCAUUGGUCCAACCUGGUAUCUCUCCGUCGAUGUUCAGCUUUACAUACUAAGUCCUUUAGUCAUCGUAUGGAUGUUUGGCAAGGAGUACGUCGCUUUCAUUGCGUUGGCAAUUGCAAUUAUUUUGUCGUUGAUCGCCUCUACUUACUACAGCUUUACAUAUGACUUGGGAGUAGUGAUCGGCAACCCAGCACGCACUUUGGAAUUUGACGAUUACCUUGUUUACUACUACUAUAACACUCCGGUGAGAGCGUCGCCGUUUAUUGUCGGAAUGGUGUUCGGUUACUUGUUGCAUUUGUAUAGAGGCAAGACCCCUAAUAUUUCCAAGGUCAAUACAACUCUUCUUUGGAUGCUGUCGAUUAUGAUGCUGACCUUCAGCAUAGUGUGUGUCUACCCGACGAUGCAGAAAGACUAUGACCUGCAGGCCCUGUCAACUGGUUCCUAUCACUAUACUUGUGGAAGCUUCCUGCGAGGCUCUCGUAUGGAGUGUAUUUGCUGCACAUGCCCCUCAUUUUAAUAUUACAAGGGAGCUGGGUGAAGAGUCAGUACUUCUCAGAAUAUGAUAGUACCUCCAGAUUCAUGGCCGUCACAAUGAUGAGUUUCAUGCUCAGUUUCUUCAUGACCAUAAUAAUUGAUUCUGCGUUUUCUACAAUUCUUAAAAUGUUCCUAACUG
rnacentral:misc_RNA from 1 species